GCACCCGUCGCUUCGGCGACGGGGAGGUUUUCAAAGAACACUUGUGUCGCCCGUGCUCGAACCAAUUNUGAAUUCUUUUUCUAUCACGCUGUGACUGGAUCCAAGCNAAGUAUUCUCUGCCAAGAGAAUUGUAAUUGAAAGGAAAACAACCCUGAACGGUGGAUCACUCGGCUCGUGGGUCGAUGAAGAACGCAGCAAAUUG
rnacentral:rRNA from 1 species